GGGGCGGCUCCUGCCCAUUGCCUGAGUGUGAUCAUCCUGUAAACAUCGUGUCCCAGACAUUCCGUUUGGCUGUCUGUCCUUCCAUUUGGUCUGGCUCUGCCUUCAUGUUGCAUUUGUUAAUUACUUUGCUGCUAAAACAAAAUUGGAAAAACUGCACCUCCUGCUUCUCAGGGACCUUGGGUGGCAGCCAGGGCUCCCCUUUCUUUGUUGAACCUGGCGCCUUGGGGCUCUGCAGAGCUCCUCAAAGACCCCGUGUCUCCCUGCCCAGAACUCCCAGCCCCUUGGAUCCAGGGCUUGCGGGGGAGCACAGAACCAUCAGCCCCGGCCACUCUAGUAGGGAGAGAGGGGGACCCACGCACGCAGACAGCUGGGUCUGAGCCGAGCGCGGACUGAAGUGAUAGCCGCUGGGACCCUGUCAAGGUGGGGUUGGCAUUUCACAGGACCUUGCAGAGAUUAAGAAAUGUGUCUGAGGCCCUAGCCGAGACGCAUUUGUCUGGCCCCAGAGCUGGGCUCUUCUCAGCAUCGUGUGCUAACGUCUCCAGCAGGUGCCCUGUGGACCAGGAGAUGCUUGCAGUUUCCUGUCUAACAGGAACUCGAACACUAGCAGGCUGGGCCAGUGUGGACUAUCUGCGCACCCCAGAGAGCCAUCUCCCCAGCCAGGAGGGUGAAGUAGCCCCGCCCUCCUGCCCUUUGCUCUGGGUCCUAGCUGUGUCCUUCCUGUUUAUUCCUCUCCCUCUAUGAUUCUCUUCUCUCUGGCCGACUUGAUGGCAGACACCCCAUCUGUCUCAUUGGCCUGUGUGUCUGCAGUACCCUGGCUGGAGCAGCACACAGUAGGUUCUCAUGAGCUCCUUGUUAUUGCUUCAGCUUGGCUGUGUGCUCCCUCGAGGCAGGUGUCAGGCUGCACUCUCACCGUUGUCUCUCAGCACCGAGAAUGGUGCCUGGCAUGCAGGAGGUGCACAAUACAUGCUGAGUGACCGAAAGUCCGAAACAUGAUCUACACGCUAGUGAGCUCUUAACUCACACCGCGCACGUCCUCCGAGCCUGAGUUCACGGGUGCCGGGGCCGGACGGGGACGCGCGAGAGACACCUGCGGACUGUGGGCUUCUGCAGCAGCGGUGGGUCAAGGGGUCGCUGCCCAGCCUGCGCUCGGGUUGCAAUCCCUUCUGGGCCGUGGGACCUCUCCUGGGCAAGGAUUGCGGCUUCCUGAGUGCACGCCCCUCUCUGAGAGCUACCGUGCCAUGCACACAGAGCCCUGGGACUGCGGGAGGGGUGCUGGCAGGCUUCCCGGGGCCUGCCCAGGAACGGAAUGACCCAGGAUCCAGGCCGAGUCUGGGGGACCCGCUGAGCCUCGGGGGUGUCGUGGGCUGCCUGAGCCUCUCGUGUUUCUUCUGACCCCUGGCCAUGCCCCGUGCUUCUGUGGGACGGCCUGGAGGGUGCACAGAUUCGCCUCUGGCUCUGACUGUCCCCAAACCCGCAGGCUGUCUGUUUUCACACUGUGCCAUGGGAGAGCCCUCUCCGCAACGUCAGGAGCGCAGCUCGGGCUGUACGUCGGUCAUGAAUUAUGUCCAAAGUCAAGGGGAGGCAGGAAUCCAAGGGAAAAAUGCGUUUGUAAAACGUUCACAGGUUCAAAGUGUUAGUUCUUGGUCACCACGAACUGUGCUCUUUGGCUGUCAAUCCAAAACCAUCACAGAAUCCAUGAACGCAGAUCGAUGGCUCCACGUUGUCACAGCCGCGCGCCCAGAAAAUGCUACGGUGCCCGUGCACCCGGCAGCCGGGAAGUGACACAGCAGAGUCAUAGGCCACUGCAUCAUUCCUUCUCUUUGCUCCACGCGGGGACAUUCACUUGUUGAGAAUUUUCCAUUUGACAUUCUCUCCUCUUUGGGUAGGUGUUGUUCUAGGAGGUUGUAAAUAAUGGUAAGGCUGAGAUGUUUUAUGUUUAAAUUGGGCACAAUGAUUUCCACCUUAUUCCCCGAACUUGCUUUCCUUUCUUCUGUUUGACACGUACGGGCUAUUUAUACCUGUACCCGGCUCCCGUCGGAGGGCGGCGACUCAGGUUUAUGAAUGGUGUUUGUGUAACACGUCGUGCACUGUGUUUGAAAUGCGGUGGCAGCUCGAGUGUCUCACCUACCUGGCUGGUCUCGUUUAAACCCCGGUACAGGCUGCAUUCGGCUCUGCGUGGUUGGUACAUGAGAAAAAAAUGUUUCCAAAAGUGUUUUGCUUCUAAAAAUUGUAUAGAGAACAAAACUCAGACUUCUGCUCUGAGGCUGAAGGUAUAAAACUGGGGAAUUUCGGUGGUAUUUUGGGGAGCAGACUCCCCUUUGUCCAUGCUGGGUAGCUGGGGCUGGCUGGCCUCGUCUCUGACCCUGUUCCUGAGAAGACCGGUUGCAAGAGCCCUUGACCCGCCAUACUUCUCUCCCUGGAGCUGUCUUGUUUGCUUUUGUACUUUGCUUCCUUCUAGAAAGAUGUGAAGUGGCCCGUAAUAGCAGACACAAAUACACAGAGACCAUGAAAAUGGAAGUAGGAAAUUCAGACCCAUAAAGGAGGACACACCGACUUCCCGAGGUCCUGAUUCCUGAGACUGAACCAUGAACGGCCUUCUCUUCGCAGUAAAUGAUAGCCCACAUUCACCUAGGGCUUCACCUUCUACAGAUUAUUUUCAUGUCCUAUUUGACCUUCCUUGCUGUCCUAUGAGGUUGAUACUCUUCUUUUUCCCAUGUUCUAAGGGAGGAAGCAGAGGCUCAGAGAGGGUAAGUGACUUACCUGUGGUCACACAGCAGCCACAGACCUACCUUUACACCCAGGUCGUCUGACUUCAAAAACCCCAUGUCCUUUCCAUCACCCGAAAGACAGCAAAGUAGCUUAGGCUCCUGUGGCAGUUCGAUUAGCAUAAACUUUUUGAGAAAAGGAAAUUUAAAGACAUAAAGCUGUAGACAAAGUGCCUGGUUUUAUUUUCCUUCUGUGCCAGCCUCAGCCUUGCUCUAUUGUGGCGGGUUCUUCCCCCAGGGGGUCCUCUGAAGGCUUUAAGAGCUGUAUGAACAUCCCAGUCCUUCCCUCCCAGAAGCUGUGACUGGGAACCAUCUCCCCCGGUCACCGGGAGCUCGAGCCAGUUUUCAGGUGCUUUGACAACUACACAGACCGCUUUCCAAACCCUUCCCAUUCUCAGACUGGGGCUACUCCUUCCCAAACUGCAUGCUGGUGAGAGCCGUCCAGAUCUCAGGGUGGCCGCCUGGGCUGCAAGGCUUAGGCAGAGGGCUGCGGCCGCUGCAGUUACUGGGCCGUGCCCUGGGUUGGGUUUUGGCUGCCCCCACGCCCAGGAGCGGGGCAGGAUAGCAGGCCGCAGUGCAGGGCCUCCCAGGCUUUGUCCCACAUCGCCACAACCAUUUCUGCUCCUGUUCAUCUCUGCCCAGAUAGCUCUGGGUGCCCCAGAGUGUCUUCCUGUGCUAAACUUGACCUCUUGGACCCUGUGCGAUGCCCACACACUCUUCCUUCCCAGCUGGCAGAGUGCUAGGCUGUGGGAGCCACUUCUUACAUUUCUUAGGGAUCUUGCUCUGAACAUGGCCCUUAUGGAAACUGCUUAUGUAAGCUCACAAUGAAAUAAAUCAUAUUCAAAACAAAGGUAAUGUAUAGUCAAAACAUACCACCUCCUAGUUAUUUCACGACAUUUUGCUAUUCUCUGUGCUCUUAAGGUUCUGUCUGCUGUGCUACGGGGGAUUGCAAUGGAAGCACGUGCUUCUGAGUGUUCCAUGGGGUGCCGCUGGCAGCUUGAAAUCGGCCGCGGUGCGAGCGUUUGCAUCUGCAGCAGAUCGCGUGUCCUCCUCUCCCUCACACGCCACCCCCGAGCUCAUUGCUGGACGUUCACUAGUCCCCGGGGUUCAUGUCCACCCAUCCACGGUAUGGCUAUGCUACUGGAGCCGGCAACCACGCGGCACUGGUAGCCAGCCCCGCUGAGGGUGUGUGCACCAGACCCCGGUGUCCAGGGCCUUUUGGGGCCUGACCUGCCACCCACCCUAGCAGUGACACCAGUGGCUCUCAUUUAUGCGCCUUUGUCCCCUAGAGAUGAUAGGACAGUAGACGUUUCAAUUGUAAGUCUUUUUUUUUUUUUUAAAGAUUUUUUUAUUUAUUUAUUCGAUAGAGAUAGAGACAGCCAGUGAGAGAGGGAACACAAGCAGGGGGAGUGGGAGAGGAAGAAGCAGGCUUAUAGCAGAAGAGCCUGACGUGGGGCUCGAUCCCACAACGCCGGGAUCACGCCCUGAGCUGAAGGCAGACGCUUAACCGCUGUGCCACCCAGGCGCCCCUCAAUUGUAAGUCUUGAGGCCCUGGAUGUGAUAUAAGGAGCACUGCCAAGUGUGAACGUCCUUCUGUACUUGGGCCCCAGGGCCCUUGAAUUUCCUUGGGGGCCGCUAUCUCUCCUGUAGGGUGGGUCCCGUCCCAGGGAUCGUCCAUGUCCUCCAGCCCCUAGACCCCUGCUUCCUGUGUGAAUGCUGGGGUGAUACUGACCACACUCUGCACGUUAUCUGCCCCAUGGGGGGCUGAUGAGGGUCGGGGCAUCUCUGGGUGCCUGCCGCUGGGCUUUGCACACAGAGUACGCUCGGGAACCACAGCUCUUCUGUGCUUGGCUCUGCAGGCUGCUGAGUGUGGCAUCUGCUCCCAGCCAGCCAUGAGGCUGCAGUUCCUGCACGCACCCCUCCUUCAGGCAGGCCACUCUCCUCCUGGACCAGGUACUCAGGGGCAAACAUGCACCUGAUGGUGGAGAGAUGCACCAGCAAAAAGAAACUGUUUGGCUCCUGGAGGGUGACGGGCAGCCAGCAGAGAGACUUACAGGCCACCACAGUGUUUUUGUCCCAAUGUAGCGACCGGGUUCUGAGCAGCAGACCCUGACCCUUUCAGAGAUGCUUGGCAUCUUGGAGAAACAGCAUCACCUUUCCACUAGGACUACAGCUCUGAGAUUUCAGAGCAGGGGACCUGGGGGAAACGAGAGCUGGUUAAAUACCAGCCCCCCCAUUAAAUUGUAAUGAGAUGCAUCCACCAGGCCCCCAUGCCAGGGACAGUCUGUUUUGACUGCAGCAAUGAAAACAGCAGGUCAGAGCUGGAGGCUGUCGGGAAUGUUGCUGGUCAGUGGCAUCAUGGCACAGGUCUUGUGAUUCUGUUCUGAUUUUCCCAUAGCUCUGCAGGGAGUAAGUGUGGUGUGGAGGUGGCGUUCUGGGCUCCACGGGCUGCAGAGAGCCCUCUGCGUGGAGGGGUGUUGGGUGGAAACAGAGAUCUGUGGUCAAGCGUCCAUGGCCCUGCAGGGCUAAACACACCCGCAGACUUUCCCCAACCCACCUGUGCAGGGAAAUCUGGUCCUGGCAUCAAGGGGGAGGCUGGUCUGCCGGUCACUCACUGUAAAAUGCAGCCCUGGGGACUCCGAGGGAGGAGUGGAGCACAGCCCUCCAGUUGAGGGUGACCUGAGACAUGAGCAUGUAUUGGGGCGGGAGGGGUCCACACAGGGAACUAAGGAUGGGGAAUGAGCGUGAAAAGGUAGGGCUUGUCCCAAAUUGGAGAAUGGCACUAAUGAGAAUUAAUCCACAUAAUUCAAGUGCAGAAAAAGGUAGGAAGGGCUGGAUUCAGGAUCCCAUGGAUUAUAAGCUCUACGAGGAUAUGCUUUCAUCAGGUAGCUCUGGAGUUGGACUUAGCUCUUAUUAGGCCGUCGCAAAUAUAUGUUGAAUGAAAUGUUGGAUCCCUUCUGGAAUCAGCAGGAAGCAGAGAGAGCCAUUCCAGUUAGUAGGAACCAGUGUCCUGGGAGGAAUAUGGAGGCUUCGUGCACCCGCUUCCUGGACACACCUUGUUGGGCUCAGUAGCGGUGAAGUAGGCGCAGGCACAGCCGGGGCGUCUGCAGUGUCCCCCACUGCAAAGACCUCUCUGGGCUCAUUCUUCUCAAAAUCAGGAAAACACAACCCCUAGACUCAAGGGAGCCGAUGGUGGCUCUCCAGUCAUGGAGUGACCAACCCUAGACGCCACCAUCUUCCGUGCUUGUAACAGCUUAGAAAACCUUGAGGGAAAAAAGAGCCAGGCCUCUGGUUACUGCUCCCUGGCCCAUGGAAACAGCUGCAGUCCAGCCCUUGAGUGGCGCUCCUGGCAGACAGGGGCCUGGUGGCCCCCCUCCCCACAGGCCCUGGGGGUUCUCCCAGCUGGGGCUGCAGAGGGGAGGGCGAGUGUGGGAAAUGUGGGUGGAUGGUGAGAAUGACUUAAGCCCCAAUCACUUCUGUAACAUGGCCCUCUGUGCAGGCCUAGCUUGGGGGUUGGUGGGCUUGGUCCCAAGGAGAUCAGGGGUGUGGGCAGGGUUGAACCUGGUAAUGCAGAUUUUGGGUUUGGUUCUGAUGGCCUGUGAGUCCAGGUGGUUCUAGCUGUGGUUGUAACAGGGAAGCUGACUCCAUGUUCCAUGUGUGUUUGCUGACAGCUUCUGGGCCUCCUAGGCCCCUCCCCCUCUUCCCCAUAUCUGGGCCGGCUGAGGAGAGGGUCUGCAUGCUCCCUCCCUUGGCACCAAGGGGGAGUUCCAGCCGCACAAAACCCGGCCUGUGUGUGGUACCCCUCGCCCUUGUCCCACCCUGAUCACGACAAAAGCCAGACCCCUCCUCACUCACCAGCCAUGCUGCUGGGAGCCAGCCAUGCUGCUGGGAGCCUGCCCUGCUCCGCUAAGAGACUCAUCAUGUCAGUAAUAAACUCUUCCUUCCUCUUGGUCCACGUGUGGCAUCAUCAGGCUCAAUCUGCAAGUCAAAUUUUGAGUGGGGGGUUGGUCCAACCCCUACACCAGGGCAAGCAAACACAAGGUUACUGGAAGAACCUGGAUGCACGAGGAGCUUAUUUCUGGUUCACGUCAUGGUCCAAGGGAGAAGCUUCUGGUCUGGUGGCCUCCUGUGAACUCAUUGGAGGCUGGGAGCCCCGCCUAUUUGAGGCCUUUAGGAUUGUCUGCACUGUCAACAUGGGGGGAGAGCAGGGAGGGUCAGGUGCAUGCCGCUCCUCGGAGGCCCAGAGCUCAGGUGUGCAGCUGCGCCCAUCUGUGCUGCUGGGCGGGAAGCACACGGCAGCACCUCCCAUGGGGGUGCGGACUAUCAGUUGGUCAUCGAGGGGGUGUUAGGUAGUGGGGUAGAGUCUGAGGAGGAAGUUCUGGGCUAGGACUGUACAUUUAUAAAUAGCCUUGUGGGUGAUGAGAGGGGAAGAGAAGAGAAAAGGAAGAGAUAAUAAUUUUACUCAUAAUAUCCUUUCUGGCUGGUUUUCAUCCUUGAGGCUUGCCUUCUACAAUCUCACCAGUGGCAGUGGGUGUUGGUGGGGACAGGAGAAAGCGGGUGGGAAGAUGUGGGAUCCCUUCCCUGUGAGUCAGAGUCAGCUGCUUAUGCAUAGUCACACACACACACACACACACACCUCACGCACACAGGUACACACACACACAC